rnacentral:rRNA from 1 species
AUUGAACGCUGGCGGCAGGCCUAACACAUGCAAGUCGAACGAGUGGCGGACGGGUGAGUAAUGUCUAGGAAACUGCCAGAUGGAGGGGGAUAACUACUGGAAACGGUAGCUAAUACCGCAUACCAUCGGAUGUGCCCAGAUGGGAUUAGCUCGUGGGUGGGGUAACGGCGCACCAAGGCCACGAUCCCUAGCUGGUGUGAGAGGAUGACCAGCCAAACUGGAACUGAGACACGGUCCAGACUCCUACGGUAGGCAGCAGUGGGGAAUAUUGCACAAUGGGCGCAAGCCUGAUGCAUCCAUGCCGCGUGUAUGAAGAAGGCCUUCGGGUUGUAAAGUACUUUCAGCGGGGAGGCGUUACUCGCAGAAGAAGCACCGGCUAACUCCGUGCCAGCAGCCGCGGUAAUAC